CUCCACACCCGGGUCUACCCAUCCGGAAGUCCUGAGUCAACAGCCGUUUCCCAGAAUCCACCUCAGUUUCUUCCCACACCUGAGCCAGACUGUUCCCAGGAAUGAGGUGGGGCAGAAGGAGAGAGUCAGACAGGGUCUCACGGAGUUGCUAAGCAUCUCGCUUUUGCUGAGGCUGGCUUUGAACUCACGAUCCUCCUGCCUCAGCUUCCUGAGCCACUGGGAUUACAGGAGUUGAAGGCGGCAUAAGGGUCUAAUUUGCCAGACAUGUCCACAGAGCCUUGGUACCACAGGAACCCACUGAAAGUUAAUACUGUAAACUUGUCAUACUUUGACUUCAAUAAAGUAAACGUGUCACUAA